rnacentral:rRNA from 1 species
UGGGGAGUCUUAGACAAUGGGGGCAACCCUGAUCUAGCCAUGCCGCGUGAGUGAUGAAGGCCUUAGGGUUGUAAAGCUCUUUCAGCUGGGAGGAUAAUGACGGUACCAGCAGAAGAAGCCCCGGCUAACUCCGUGCCAGCAGCCGCGGUAAUACGGAGGGGGCUAGCGUUGUUCGGAAUUACUGGGCGUAAAGCGCACGUAGGCGGACCGGAAAGUUGGGGGUGAAAUCCCGGGGCUCAACCUCGGAACUGCCUUCAAAACUACUGGUCUUGAGUUCGAGAGAGGUGAGUGGAAUUCCGAGUGUAGAGGUGAAAUUCGUAGAUAUUCGGAGGAACACCAGUGGCGAAGGCGGCUCACUGGCUCGAUACUGACGCUGAGGUGCGAAAAGCGUGGGGAGCAAAACAGGAUUAGAUACCCUGGUAGUCCACGCCGUAAAACGAUGAAUGCCGUCGUCGGGUUGCAUGCAAUUCGGUGACACACCUAACGGA